ensembl:lncRNA
AUUCUCUAUAAGCAGGUAAGACACACCAGUCUCCUAAAUGCUGAAGAGGACUAAAAAGCACACAACAUCAGACCACGGAGAAAAUCCCACCAAGUUCUUUGUGACAGCAAGCAGAGGCGAGGGCACCAAAAAUCCACCUCUGCCAUAUGAAGAGAGAGAGUGGGGAGGGAAAAAGCCAAAUUCUUAAGUUGUGCAAGAAUAAGUAAAUCACAUCCAACUAUGACAGCAUUAACAACACAAUAUCAAGGAUUUAUACUUUUUGUUGUUCAUGUAAGUCUCCCAAACCAUUUCUCUGCUCCUGGGCAGACAAGGCAGGACAAGUGGAUAAAUAAGCUGUGCUCGCAGCCACACGCACCUGCCAGCUAUCGUCUUACCUUCCCGCUCUUGUGCGAUCUCAUUUGGACCCAAGUAAGAAGUCUCCCCUUACAGCCACAUUGUGCUCAUUCAUGCAGUCAUUCUCUAAACCAGUCUGGCUGCUCGGAGCGAGCAGAAUUACACUUAAGCCUCUGUGACCGGGGCACUGCAGGAUCCUCGCUUUUGGUCCGUUCCCUGCUGGAGUGGGAAGCGGUGACCGAUCCCUCCCACUCAAUGGGCAAGCCCAAAUGUCCAUCUACAGCACCAAGGAUCCAUGGCUUUUAGAGUUUGUCAGAUUCUUGCAGUCUAUAGAGCUGAAAGCUCACCAAGAGGUGAGCCGGGGGUUAAAGUUAUUCGUCUCAUGAUAGAUCUGCUCUUCAGGUUUGCUGCAACAGGCCGCACUGUGCCUUUAAGAGUGCUCUGUAUGACUGCAGGGCUAGUCUUGGCACCUGGUCUUGGCCUUCUGAAUGUCCCUAUUCAGGCAGAGCUAUUGUGCUUUGACUUUUUGCUUCACCUUAAUCCAAAUGAGUUUUCAAGUUCAGACAAGCCCUCUGGUUGUUCAUAACUUUAACUACAUGGGACAUUACACAGGCACCUACAAACUGGCAGAAUCGGGCCCUUCACUAUUGUCUUAAGCGUGGUUUUGAAAAGAAUAUGGCACCGUUGCUUAUCGGUUUGCCAAAGCAAACUGUGACCUGGCAUCUGAAAAAAGCAAGGAGUCUGGGACGCGUGGCAACAACAGAUGUCUGCCGUGCAGCUGGGACAUGAACAAAGUCAGAGGGAGGAUCUGCAGGAGGCUGUGGUAGGAGGCUGAGGCCGCAGGGCAAGUGCAGCUCCUUCCCCAGCCACAGAGACCCCAUUUCAGUGCUGUCAAAUGCUUCAGAGCAACAGCUAAGAAAUUCUUUCCAUAUCUGCUGUUAAUUAGUAACUGCUUAUUUACAUCUAGGAAAGGCAAACACUGGUCUGCCUCUUCUGGAGUGCCGUGCUUCAGGAUUAGCGACAGACAGACCUUCUGCAGCUCACGACAUUUACCUACUGUAUUUUCUUUAACAGCUGAAGUAAUGACAUCUUAUUGACAGCACAGCAGAGCAAACAAUGUCUUACUGAAAGCUUCAGUGCUGGAUUUGGGCUGUCCUAAGGACCUGAGACCAAGUAAAGUAAGCAGGUUUUGCUACUGAAUGAAAGACAAUGACUGUUCUAGUUCACCGGUGGCCUUUAGCACUCCUAGACACAAAAAAGGUAUGCACAGCUCACUGAGAUAUCAUUUGCUAAUUUUGUACUUCACCCAGGUCAUUAGACCAGCUACAAAUAUUUGUGAGGACUGAACUGAGUUGGUGAAUUGGGUUUUUGUUUUUCAUUACUGUGUAAGACUUUACUAAAAUGAUACAUGUACCUGUAUUCCUUAGGUAGUGUCUCCCUCUAGCAAACUCCUCUCAGCAUCCUGUGGGUAAAACGCCUCAGACAUAGGCCUAGCCACUUAGCAUCCUAUGUCUUGAUACCAUUUUCUGCUUUAUCUUCCCCGUGAUAGAAGUUUCAUCUCGUUUAAACAACCUAUCUUCAAAUACAACUCGAUACAUCUGGUCUAUCUAUAAUGAAGAGGUAUGAGAGUGGUUUAUUUUCAAUUCACAGAGUAGUAUAAUAGCUCAACAAGUACAAAAAUCCCACAAGUUAUGUAUCAGGCUUUACACUGGUUUCACUUAUUCCUGUUGUAUGGUCUUAAGUGAGAUUAUUACUUGGAAGGUCAUGGUACCACGUAGAUAAACUUUUUUGAAUGUCCAAUACCAGAAAGGCCAGGGAAGUUGAAACCAUGUAAUCUGGAAAAGCAGUUUAUUUGCCAAGAAUCUCCAGCAUCCAAUUCACAGAUAUCUUAAAUCCAGGUUACCUCAUUAUUUAUCCCCAAGUGUACUUCUAAUAUGAGAAUGAAACAUUACAUUUGGCCAGUUUGUAAAACUGUUACAAUUAAGUCUAAUCAAUUACUUUCACCAGUUCUAACUGCAGGUGUCUGAAGUAUUUCACUUCUGUUCUCCAUGCAGACAAGUAUCCUUCCAGAGAGGACGUAGGGAAGAUCAGAGAAUCAGAAUCCUUAGAGUUGGAAGGGACCUUUAAAGGUCAUCUAGACCAACUUCCCUGCAGUGAACAGUGAACAGGGACACCACAGCAAGAUCAGUUGCUCAGGUUGCUAGAUCAGGUCCAGCCUGACCUUGAAUGUCUCCAGGGAUGGUACAUCCACCACAGCUCCGGACAACCUGUUCCAGUGCUUUAUUAUUAAUACCACAAAAAAAAAAAAAAAAAACCCACCUUUUCUUUAUAUCCAACCUAAAUCUCCCCUCUUUAAGUCUGAAACCAUUUCCCCCUGUCCUAUCACCACAGACCCUGCUGAAGAGUCAGUCCCCUCCUUCCUCACGGCCCCUUCAGACACCAACAGGCCGCCCUCAGGUCUCCCCACAGCCUUCUCCUCCUCGGGAGGAACGAGCAGCGGGGGCAGAGCCACAGGGCCGGGUUUCACCUAAAUCAGCAUGAUAAUCACAUUGCUUUGCAGAACAUUGUCCUUAACAGAGGUUGUUCUUAGCCUGAUCCUUAAUAAAGGGGAUAAUAGUUCGUGAGAACAACGGUCACAGGAGAUAUUUCUAGUCAGCUUUUGUUCUUGUACUUGGCCAGUUUGUGUGCUGCCUAAGGGUAUAAAUAGAGGGACUAUAGUGGGGAUUAGCAGACUUUCUUUCCAGCCGGUCUCGUGUGCCAAAGCGAUGACUCUAUUAGCAUUGUUUCCCCUGAAAGGUUUGUUUCACUCCGGCUUUCAGAAACCAGCACAAAGGCACCAAGCCCUUCCCGAGGCCCCAUUUUCUCCUCCUCUAAUACCGGGAGCGUGUGCUUCCACCUGGGACAACCCAAGCGCUCUCCACCUCCCCUUGGCGACAGGGGGAAGGUUGCUCUGAGGGUUCUACACCUCUGCAAGCUGUUCUACACCUCAGCACCGCAGAGACGCUUUUUGGAUAGCAUUUAACACUCAGUAUUCUGUAGAUGAAGUGGAAGUUAGCGAUGGCUUUGGCCUUUCGUGUGCCUCAAAGAUAGAGCGCAUCGAAUGUCUCCUAUGUACGGUCACCCCAACACUGCGUGUUAGAGGGCAGAGAAACCCGGAGUUAAAGGCUAGGCCUCACCUCUCUGAGCUUUAGAGCAUGGACAGCAAUAUAUAACAAAGUCACCCUGGGAUCCCUUUGUAAUUAACAAAUAGGCACCUUUCAGGUCUGAUCCUUCUGAUCCAUUUUGACUGACAUUGGUAUGCAGUGAAUCACCUGGGGUUAAACAAACACGGUACUCUGUUGUCUGUAGAUGACCAAACAAGGUUGUAUUUCUGCUUCAGUUCUCUAUCACAUGGGCAAUUUACUGAGCACCCAGCUUCUCAGUUUUCUUUCUCUCUUUUUUCUUUUUCUUUCUUUCUUUCUCUCUUUUUUCAUUUCCUUCUUUCCUUCCUUCCUUCCUUCCUUCCUUCCUUCCUUCCUUCCUUCCUUCCUUCCUUCCUUCCUUCCUUCCUUCCUUCCUUCCUUCCUUCCUUCCUUCCUUCCUUCCUUCCUUCCUUCCUUCCUUCCUUCCUUCCUUCCUUCCUUCCUUCCUUCCUUCCUUCCUUCCUUCCUUCCCUCCUUCCUUCCUCCUUCCCCCCUUCCUUCCCUUUUUCCCUCCUUCCCUCCGUCCUUCCUUCCUUCCUUCCAACAAUCUCGGUACAUGUCUGCACAUGUGUUUAAAUGAGUUUAAACAUCUUUCUGAACCAGCUCUAGGUGCCUAUCAUGGCAGAGGACUAAGCUUUUUCAGUACACGACCACGAGAAUUCCCAGAGCUGUGUCACUGACCGAUCUGAAAAAUCAACUGUUUUGAUUGCAUCCAUCCAUGUGGUGUGCAGAGCUUUUCUGGCAUGCCAUAAUCAUCUCUGUGAUCCAGUCCAGUAUGCACAGUGCUAAAUUUCAGCAACUAGAAACAACAAUCUGAAUUCCAACGUAAUCAUUCAUACCAGGUGCAUAAUGGAACACCAGGAUGAAGGCUGAGAGCCAUCUAAACAGCUAAGUGUGAAUUACUGCACCAUAACUCAAAGUCAUUGGUAACUUUUAUUAAUAAUUUAUAGAGCUGCAUAUUAUUAAUAUAUGCAGAAACAGCUGUCUCUCUCUCCGGUGGAAUUUGCUUUUGUGAGCGAUUUAGGGGAGGCCAAGGAGAUUAAGAAGCAGAAACCCAGCAGAGCUUCCCUGAACAACGAAGAGGAGAGCUGCAGAAGUAGGUCAUAAAACCUUUCAGUAGGUGGAUGGGUCCUUCCCUCAUUAGUCUAUUUUUAAAUACGCAGGACCAAAUCCUUAGCCAGUAUAAAGGAACUCGGUCCCAUUGACUCAUAUGCAGCCAGCCUGACAUAUUGACACACUUUGAAAAUCUGACCUGUGCUUGUUUAAGUGUAAAGAAAUACCCUGACACACACCAAUUACAAGCUUGGGUGAUAUUUUGAGUGUGCAGUAACACAAAGCAGGACAUGCAAUACGCUGCGAUAACAGUGAAAUCUGAAUAUUCUUCAAGACAGGGGGCCAAAGUGCUGCUGUGUGAGUGCCAUACUGCCUCAUGAUGAAUGUAUUACAGACAUACAGCUGUCUCUACAUAUCUGUAAAACAGAUAUUGCCUUCUUAUUCGCCAGCCCAUGUGCUUUACUUACUGACUCAUUAGAGCUGCCCUCUAGGAUUUCUUCCACUUGAGGACUGAAUCUCCGAUCUACUCUGGAAGAUUAAAAAGCACUCAUGGUUUUACAGAAAUCAGUUCCUCUUAUUUAAACACGUAAUUAAUUUCAUGGCAGGCAUUUCCCAGCAUUCUUUUUUUUCUUUCCAGUCUAUUUACAGGCCUGCUGUCUGCAGCAGAGUUUGUUUAAUGUGCUAACAUUUGUACAUCAAUUACUCCAUGAGAAGACAACCUUCAGGAAUGAAUUAUCUAUCUCUUAGCUACCCUUAAAAUUGAGCUUAAUAAUAAUAAUAAUAAUAAUAAUAAUUUCUAAGGCUGAAUGGAAAAUAUUUUCUCUCUCCAGAUUUAUGAGUCCAAAAUGUUUUAUAUUGCACAACCAGGGAAACAGAAGACCUUGGGAAGUUUCCCACAAACAGGUUUAAAAGCCUGAGAAAAGCUGGAGGGAAGCAUGUUCACCUGAGGCUCAGAAAAAUCAGAGUGAGAUCCUUAUGUCAAUGUAUAAUUAUCUAAAAUGACAAUAUAAAAUCAUUUUAUUAGAGGAAAUUCUGGAGUCCUUUUCAGCCAGUGUCCAGUAGUUGGAUAAGCUUGAAGGUAAGAAGCUUGAAGGUAAGAAGGUCUUGUUUGAAUCAAGAUCUUCAGCAUCCCAGGAUGGGUAAUGGUCAUGCACCCAAAGCAAGAAGAAGAGGAGAGACAUUCCUCCCUGAUAGUCUUUUCCCUUCUCCUCCUCCUGUUUCCUCCCAGCUUAGAGCAGAAAUGCAAUAGUUUAGCCAAGAACAUUUCUGCAAGAGUUUCUGUGUGACAAUAACAAAAAAAUAUAUUUUAUAUGAACAAACUCAGUGUAAAUUAAUUCAUUUUUUGAUGAAAAUACAAAUGAAAAGAAUCUGAGUAGGUAAGAUUUUUCCUCCCAUAGAAAUAUGUGAACAAAUAAAUACAUGUAGAUCUAAAAUCUAUGGAUUUUAACAGAGUGAAAAUUUGCAUUAAUCUACAAAACCCUGCUGCUGAAGUAUUGUUGCUAAAGUAUAUAUAAGCCCAUAACAUACAGGAGGUAUCACCAGAAGCCAUAGCUUUGUCAUGCAAUUUGGCUGAAAUCUAGAAGUAAAGUAGUAAAAAUACAGAUGUCAUGUGACCCUUUCCCAUUAGUGACAUUAUCUCGUAAUUUGAAUCAUAGAAUCAUAGAAUGGCCUGGGUUGAAAAGGACCACAAUGAUCAUCGAGUUUCAACCCCCCUGCUAUGUGCAGGGUCGCCAACCACCAGACCAGGCUGCCCAGAGCCACAUCCAGCCUGGCCUUGAAUGCCUCCAGGGAUGGGGCAUCCACAGCCUCCUUGGGCAACCUGCUCCAGCACGUCACCACCCUCUGAGUGAAAAUUUGAGGCUAUUCAUAGUCCAGAAGUGGGUUACCAUCUGAGAUUAAAAAUUUUAACUGUCAAAGAGAGUUGAUUUUAAGAUUUUCAUUCCCCUUUUAGGUGAAUUUUAGUGUUUAUAUCUGCCAGGAAUGUGGGUUUGGUUUUUAUCCUUGCUGCUCCUGAGCUUUGAGGAAAACUUUAUCAGCACUUUAUACUUUUUUUUUUUUUUAGUAAUUUAUAGAAGGAUGGAAAGACCCAUUGCUUUUAUAUCAUUGAGUAAAAAAAAACUACGUAGGUACCGAGUGUUUCUUUUGUUUUGCACAUGUAAAUGUAAGUGUUUAGAGGGAUUUUUAGAUGAUCAUAGGUGUGCUUUUGGAUCUAAUUCUUAAGUAUGUACCAAAUGUGACUUAACAAAUUUUCAAGAUUGUAAGUUGGAGAAAAGCACAAUACGUAAUGACCUUACCUUCAACACAAACGAACAGACAACACUCAAGUACUCCCUUUGGAUACUUAUUUUGGACACUUAGCUCACUUGCUGUGUCUGCAAAAUUUUCUGAUACACAUUUCACGUUUGUUAGUGGUGAUUUUAGACUACAGAUAUGAGCAGAAGGUGCUGCAGGAGGCAAAGCACUAACCCACACUGCUUUGGAUUUCUUCUCAAAGCUCCUUUCCUCAUUGCGAAACCAGACCGGUUUUAAUCACUCUAGCACAAGUGUGCAGUGCCUCGGGAUAGCCCGGGGUGAGCUGUGCUCCCGCUGCAGGAAUUGCUGCGCGCUGCCCGCUCCUGGCACCAUGGGGGCCCUGCAGCACCACAUGGCCUCUGAAGGCAUCUUCCAGUCUUGGAGGGUUUUCUGACCCCAUGCUGUGCUGCCAGCAGAGCCAUCUCUUUUGGAAGUUUUUUAAAUUAUCCCGGGUACUGCUGACUGGAAAGUUUUCAACAGUACGUAUUCUUUUCAGAAAAUAAAGUAAAAUAAAAUAAAAUAAAAUAAAAUAAAAUAAAAUAGAAUGCCAGUUCAUCAAAAAAGGAACUUUAAACAGAAGUCUGUUGAGAGCAAAAUGAGAGAGAUGAGACAAAGAUCGUUUUCCUUCGAGAAAGUGGAAUUUCUGCUCUAGUCAGGAGAGACUGAAAGCCCUGGCCCCGCACAGCAGCAUCCUUACCUGCAAUAACCAUUACCUUCACAUCUGUGCAACUCAUCUGGCAGAAACAGCCUGGGGUUGAGUCCCCGACACACAGAAUCCAAAUUAGAUCUGUUAUUUCUACAGCCAGAUAAGAAGGCGAUGCUGCUACAACGGCCCACCACACCAUCAAUCUCAGUGCUGCGCUUUCCCCAGUCACACUUGCAUUCCUGUGUUGAAAGAACCACUGCAGCACUGCAAGAUCUGUCUUUGUUCCACAUUUUCUCAUAUAUUAAUAUGUUGGAUGCCAUUAUCCUGGGGAAAACUGGCUGUUUGCAAGAGCUCCAUUUCAGUAGUAGCUUUUCAAGACUUUUUUGGUCGUACAACUUAAAAAUCAUACCAUCAAUAGCAUUUCUCAUAAAAUGGAUGCCACCAGCCCACAGACACCCUCUGUGAUGGCCAUUUGGAGACAUGAGGAGGUCACAGCCACCAUGAGAUACCCUUGCAGAGCUGGCAGCACUAGGGCUGAGGUUGCAAUCCCCAUGAAGGUAGCCCUGAGGUGGUCAGUGGAUGGAGGGUCUAACCCUAUCCUUUUGGGUCUAACCACACCUGCCAGGAGAUGUUUUUGAGCCUUCAUUUUCAAGUUCCCCACAGCAUCCACAGUACCACUGGUAUGCAGCAUAUGGCCUGUGCAGUAACAAAUGAGGAGAUUUUAAAGGGACUUUUCUAAGCUUUGUGACUCACCCAGAACCAGGUGAUGCUGUCAUCCUCCCAAAGUUAAACUUGUUCCCUCACACUUUUGUGAUCUGGGUAUGUCUCUCUUGGACUAGUAAAUGGUAAUUUAAUGGGUUGUUUCCUCCAAUAUCCCACUUGUGCCGGUUAAAUGCAAUACAAUUUACCUGUCUGAUGGAUCAGGAGAGCAAUUGCUCCUCAUGUAAUGUGAAGCUUAUAAGUCCCAUACCUCUGCUCUGCCCAUAAAGGUGCAAUAUAGUUUCUCUGUUCUUUCAUAAGACAGGGCAAAUAGGAACAAGGCAGCAGCUGGGUAGUUUUCUUCUAUAUUCAUUUAUUUAUCUGUUGCACUCCUGAUUUUUGGUGUUUCACGUUUGCUGCUGCUGUAGUGAAGCCAAGACACACACACACACAUCUCCUCAUUCCUACAGCUCCAUGUAAAGCCAGCCUUAGUGAAGCUUAGCACUGCCUGUAUGUCGAAGGGAUACCUGCUGGCAGCCAGCAGCAGAGUCCAUUUCUAAAUUGAGGUGUGCACUGAAAAUGGGCUGCAAAAUAAUGCUGUUAGUGAGCAUGUUAAAGAGGAGCAGUUAUUAGCAGUCUUUCAGCUGAGUGCUAAGCUGUACUGAACAGAAUAAGGACAAGAGCAUUUCACAACUGAGGCAGUACAAGUUACAUUAUAAAUUUCAAUGUCAUGCUACACAGUUACAUUAAAUUAUUUUCCCCAUAUUUUGAGUUAUCCCCUCUUUCCUUAAACAGGGCAUUCUCCUAUGCAAAAUCAUUACAAGCCUAUUAGCAUGAAAAGGCAAAUGUCUAUGAAUAUUAAUAGAAUAUGAAUGCAUACUGUUACAGUUGUCCUCCUCCCUUUGUAUGGGCCAGGCCCAUUUCCAGAGGUAGGCUGACAGUGCAGGAGUGGAGCCUGGCUGACCCUCCUCGCUCUUAGCAGUGUGGGCAUCUUUGUAGGUUAACCUUUGCAUCCAUAUGCUGAGGUGCUGAUUAUGAGUCUCCAAUUGUGAAAAUCUCUUAAGAUAGAAAGAUGGUGGUUUCUGUCUUCUUCCUUCCAGCUGACUUGAAACAAUUUUUCACAGUCUACAAGCAGAUUACUUUUAUUCUGGAAAAGAACAAUAUGGAAGACAUCAAUAGAUGUGAGUUAGAAAGGUGAUUUCUUUAGAAUUAUAUAAUCCUUAAAGUUGGAAGGGACCUCUGAAGGCCACCUAGUCCAACUCCCCUGCAAUGAACAGCAAUAUCCACAGCUAGAUCAGGCUGCCCAGGGCCUAUCCAGCCUCACUUUGAAAGUCUCCAGGGAGGGGCCAUCAACCACAUCACUGGGCAACCUGUUCCAGAUCCUCGCCACCCUCACUGUAAAAGAUUUUUUCCUUAUACCCAACCUAAAUCUACCCUCCCUGAGCUUGAAACCAUUUCCCCUUGUUCUAUCACCACAGACCCUGCUGAAGAGUCUGUCCCCUCCUUUCCUAUAUCUCCCCUUUAGAUACUGAAAAGCCGCUAUCAGGUCACCUCACACCUUCUCUCCUUCAGGCUGAACAGCCCCAGCUCUCUCAGCCGGUUCUCUUAGGGGAGGCGUUCCAUCUCUUGGAUCAUUUUGUGGCCCUUCUCUGGAUGCGCUUCAACAGCUCUAUGUCUCUCCUGUACUGAGGACUCCAGAUCUGGACAUGUCUUUACUCUGUCUACUAUUUUACUAUUUUGCCCACAUACAUACUCAGUUAUCAUGUGAGCAUCCCAAAAUGCUGUCAACCUCCCAUAAACUGGGAUGUAUGUGGCUGCCUGUGUUCCUCAGAUGAACUCACCUGAGUGAGUUCGUACCUGCAGACCUCUGAGAACAUGAGGAGCAGAAGGCCAUCCCAUCAAACCACCCCAACACCUACUUUGCAGCUGUUUUUUCUCUCUAGAUCUCCUCUACAAACCAUUUCAAGUGGAAUGACAUGAAUUGGACGAGAAACAUGAGAAGUAAAAAAUCGAAUAAAAAGAUAGCAGAAAGUAUGGUAAGGGAAAUUUAAAACCCAAUGAAAAGAGCCAUGUUUGCAGAGCGUGUCCCAUCCCAUCCAGCUGCUUCCCUUUGAACUUGGGGUGCCCCAGUUUCUGCGGGGGCCUCAGCGGUCAGGGAAUCGCUGCAGCCGGGCCCUUUGAUAUGAAAAGUGAAGGCUCUGCAGGAGGAGGGAAGGGAGUGCCUGAGUGCCUCGCAUGCCUCCAGCCUGUCCUUUUUGGAGGGAGGUUGUUGAUUUCUUGUUUGAAGUGAUAAGCACAGACACAGUGAAAGCUCUGUGUCUGGGUCUCCAUGCUACACACCUAAGCUAAAAAUAAGUCUACAAAGCUCAUCAGAGAAAGUAGUAAUGCAUCAGCCAGGCAGUGCGGAGGCUACUCUGGUAGCUUUUCUUCCUGUGAUUGCUUACAAGUUUGAGUUUGCUUUGAAAACUAGACGGUACUUCAAAACACAGGAGAUUUAAGAAUAAAAUUCCCAUUAGCAGCUGUUAUCAAGAAUUAUCAGGGCAAAUCCCUUCAUACUAAGACAAGAACAAACUUCUAAAAUUCAAAGGCUCUCAUAGGAAGAAAAAAAAAGGAAAAGCCCCACAGAUAAGACCUUCACUCCCCCCCCCCCCCCCCCCCCUCAACACACAUGUUCAUCUGCAGGGCUCAGCCCCCACCAGCAGGGGCUACAGUAUCUCACUAUCACGCACAAAGUGACCGAAUACCAACUGAACUGCAGUAACACGUAGUGCAUGUGCGUUGCCAACCCUCUGCAAAUGCGUGAUUAAAUGUGUUUGCUCUGACUCACUUUCAUUACUUGGCAAGAUGCUGUUUCUCACGCUGGCCACUGGGUAGGGACGUGUUGUGCUCGGUUCAGGUGGUGCGUGCUGAGGGCUCCACUCGUGCAGCUGGCUCCCUGCUGUGGCUGAAGCAUGGUACCCAAUCCUGGCCUUUCCCAGGGCUGCACACUUGCUCUCUCUCCUUGUGCUGUUGUCUCCCUUCUUAAUCAGUGAAGCUACGAUCAAAUCUCUUAGCCAAAUAGUAUAGUGCAUAGUACUACAACAUAGCACAGGAACUGUAGCGAGUGCCCCAGCCAGUACGGCCAACCUGCACCAGGUUGCUUGAACUCCUUUGGGACCAGUGCAUAUUCAAAAAAGAGAAAUGGGACUCGUUUCAGUUGGGAAAGCUGCAUUUCACAUUGUCUUAUCACCUGCUUAGCAAAGUCAUUGUUGUAGACAGAUAUAUGAAUGAUAUUUUUAAUUAUAUCAAACAGGCCAAAAAAAAAACAAGAAAAAAGAAAAAGAAAGAGAAAGAGAAAAGAAAAAGAAAAAGAAGAAAAAGAAAAAGAAAAAGAAAAAAAGAAAAAGAAAAAGAAAAAAAAGAAAAAGAAAAAGGAAAAGGAAAAGGAAAAGGAAAAGGAAAAGGAAAAGGAAAAGGAAAAGAAAGAAAAAGAAAAGAAAAAGAAAAAGAAAAGAAAAAGGAAAAGGAAAAGGAAAAGGAAAAGGAAAAGGAAAAGGAAAAGAAAGAAAAAGAAAAAAGGAAAAGGAAAAGAAAAAGAAAAAGAGAAAGAAAGAAAAAGAGAAGAAGAAAGAAAAAGAAACUAAGCUGAGUGUCUCACAUCUAAAAGUGGAACCCAAUUGUCACUUGCUGCAGUGACAGUCAGUUGGCUCAGAUCACCAUCCAAGCAGAUGACUGUUCCUGUUUUUUUGUCAUGUUAUGUUUCUGACUGCAGUGUGACCACAUCAGCUCAGCAGAGCCCAAGGCAAAUAAAUACCAGCGGUAGGAAUGGCAGGAUGCAAAGUGCUUCAUUCAGUGGAAGCAACGAACUGCUAGGACAGCUCAAGACAUGUAAUGUAUUUUAGCCUGUUUAUCUUUGUGGCUUUCAAGCUUUGAUGACUCCGGUGUUACAUUAGUCCAUAAAUGAUUAAAAAAAAAAAUGCAUGUGGUCUUUUCAGCCAUAGGAAUGGCUUGUGCAGAGAUGUAACUAAGACAGAAGAGCACAGGAAGAGCCCUUUUAAAAACAUAGUCCACUGUGUGACAUGAAAUUAUUUGCACAAGUUUCUCUUCCAAGCAGUGCCUUGCUGGUUUUGAACUCAAGGAGUUGAAGGCAUUUGGAAAAAUGUCUAAGCUGCUGCUUGGAGAUUGAUUCUUCAAAACUGCCAAAACUGCAAAUCCACUAAUGUGCCACAGAAAUUGAGAAUUAGCAGUGUCUGCCUUGGAGAUCUUCCAAACACAGAGAUAAUACUACGAAAAAAAUGGCAGAAAAGAAAUGAGAAAGAACUAGAAAUCUUUCACGUCCUUCACAGUGGAUAUACCACAGCUCCAUGCAGGAAGGAGUGUGGAUGUGUUUCUGCUUCCCUUGUGUCCCCCCAGUCCCACAGCACCACUGCUGGCACUGAAACCUUCGGCACACUGUCAGGAACCUACCCAGCCCCUCCAUGGGGACAUGCGGCACAAAGCCACUGCAGCCUUUUAGUUGGGCUCUCCCUUCUUCAGGAACUCAUGCUGGAUGAUGUCAACCUUUGUGGUUAACAGCUUAUUUAAUAAAAUAUUGAUUUUUUUUUCCCCUCGUGCUGUAGGAAAUAAGACCUUCAAGCACGUUGAUGAAGUACUUUGGUUUCCUUAAAUUCUUUCCAGGGUCUUAACUGAAAGUCUGAAUCCUAAACUAGACGUUUCCCAUUCAUUUAUGCUCACAUUUCCUGCAAGUCCUAUAAAGUAUGUGCACCAAGUUGGCCGAUGAAGGAGCACACCACAACUUUUUUGAUUUCUACAGAGGUAGGGGUCCACCAUCGGCUGUGCAUGGAAAAAUCUAUGAGUGUGAUUUUGAGAGGAAAAAGCCCUUACAAACAGCACUGGGGUAAAGCAUGGGGCAAAGCAUCAAUAUCUGUAAUAGCUUCUUGCCGACCAAAACUAAACAAAGUGGAAAUGAAAUGGUUCAUAUAUCUCACACAAGAAGCAUAUGUAAUUUGGAUAGUGUAAACUGCAAUUAAGCAGUGCAUGUGAGAAACAUACAUCAUUUGCAUCUCAUUAAUGAAUAAUAAAAUUAGUAUUAGAGAUGAGGAUGUACUACAAGCUGAGGUAUAGAGAUUUGGUUUAUCCCUAAAACAAAGAUUUUGAAAACAGAAACCAUUACAUUUUUAAAUAAUAAAGGAAAAUAAAGAGUAUCUGUAGGGUUCUGAAACAGUAUUUAACUGAAGGCCUAAUUUUCUAAAAUACAGAAGAAAAAGACACUAUAAAGACUUUAUUUCAAGAAUACACAUGGUAUUCCUAUUAGUGUUCACUAUAAUGCAGAAUGGUACUAAGGAGUAACAGUACGCCUUGCUGAUGACAUCUAGGAAUUGUACCUGUACUGAUAAAUUCGGAAAUGAAGUAGCAUCAUCUGAAAUACAGAAACCUCAGUUUAAAAAUUUCUUUAUCUGCUAAGUUUGUAAUUUAAUCUUUCACAAAAUAAAUUGAUUGAAAUCAAAUUCUGCUUUUUUUUUUUUUUUUUUUUUU